rnacentral:rRNA from 1 species
GACGAACGCUGGCGGCGUGCUUAACACAUGCAAGUCGAACGGAAAGGCCCUGCUUUUGUGGGGUGCUCGAGUGGCGAACGGGUGAGUAACACGUGAGUAACCUGCCCUUGACUUUGGGAUAACUUCAGGAAACUGGGGCUAAUACCGGAUAGGAGCUCCUGCUGCAUGGUGGGGGUUGGAAAGUUUCGGCGGUUGGGGAUGGACUCGCGGCUUAUCAGCUUGUUGGUGGGGUAGUGGCUUACCAAGGCUUUGACGGGUAGCCGGCCUGAGAGGGUGACCGGCCACAGUGGGACUGAGAUACGGCCCAGACUCCUACGGGAGGCAGCAGUGGGGAAUAUUGCACAAUGGGCGGAAGCCUGAUGAAGCAACGCCGCGUGCGGGAUGACGGCCUUCGGGUUGUAAACCGCUUUCGCCUGUGACGAAGCGUGAGUGACGGUAAUGGGUAAAGAAGCACCGGCUAACUACGUG